ACUCUUUGCUCGAAGUCUUUCAUUGAUCAUGGAAGACGAUCCGGAGCCUGACACAGCAUUACAUUUCUUUCGAAAUUUUCAAUGUUUCUUAAAAAUGGAUGGUAUAGGGAAAACGAAGGCUGAACAAGAGCUCCAAUCUUGCUAUAGCAUCAUUCGAGCUGUUCUUAGUUCUGGCCAUUGGAGUUAAUUGAGCCAAUGUCGAAAAAGACAUUGGAACAGAAAGACUCCAUAUUAUAUGCUUCCUCAAAUGGAAAAGAGCAAUAGAACGAGGCUGUGUUGUUCAGGGGAUUGGAGCAAUUCAGGUUGUGGGGUGUCCACGUCUGUAUGUUUGCAGCUCCAGUUGGUACAACACGGUUUGUAGACAAGUCCAUCAAGAUUGUUUGGAUGGGUCCAAGCUCAAUUGCUUCAUCAAAAGAGCAAUACGAAAAGCUAUUCAGGUACAACUGGGCAACAACAAACCAUGCAUGAUCUGGCCAAAGGAUUUCAGCAUGGAUUUCUUUAGCCUGAGCUAAUCUUGGAAGGCGAGUUAUCAGGUCUUUUAAGGGCAUGGGUUGACAACGCUUCCAGUGAGAAUUGAUAUGUCGCUGUUUGGGGAUAAUGGUUGAGCUUGGAGAUUCAUCCUACAACUUCGAUGGAUUUGUCAGGACUGUGUAGUUGACUGAAGUGAGAGCAUACUGACACAUGAUCUCGUAGCCUCUUGGCCUCCUAAUCUUUUGCUACUUCAUCAUUUGAGAAGCGCUAGCCAUAGAAUCAUGUAAAGCAGGCUUCCCAGUGAGUGGAUGAUUGGGUCAUGCUCUUACAUGAUUCUCAAAGCUUGAUUGAAAUUUCCGCCAUGAUUCAACAUGCCUAUCCAGCCAUUCUCAAAAGGCUGGAAGCUUAUGUACCCUAAGAUUUAUAGGGAUGAUCAAUUUCCUCUUAGCUUUUUACAACCAUGCAACCAAGUUAUAAGGUUGGUCUCACUCUAUAGUGUACAUACAUAUUGAAACAAAAUUCCAAUCAAUUGAAAAGGAAGGCAUCAGAAAAUUAGAAUGCACAAGUUUUCUUCAUCAGAGGUGGGAAGAAAAAAUGUCGGACAAUAUUGCAUU
rnacentral:sRNA from 10 species